rnacentral:rRNA from 1 species
UUAGUUGCUAACAGGUGAAGCUGAGCACUCUAGACGAACUGCCGUUGACAAAACGGAGGAAGGUGGGGAUGACGUCAAAUCAUCAUGCCCCUUAUGUUCUGGGCUACACACGUGCUACAAUGGCCGGUACAGACGGAGGCGAAGCCGCGAGGCGGAGCAAAUCCGAAAAAGCCGGUCUCAGUUCGGAUUGCAGGCUGCAAUUCGCCUGCAUGAAGUCGGAAUCGCUAGUAAUCGCAGGUCAGCAUACUGCGGUGAAUACGUUCCCGGGCCUU